rfam:Fusarium graminearum chromosome 4, complete genome
GCCCGCGUGGCGUAAUGGUUAACGCGUCUGACUUCUAAGCAAACUGUGAUACAUCACAUUGGUUGGUAUCAGAAGAUUGCAAGUUCGAGUCUUGCCGUGGGCU